rnacentral:rRNA from 2 species
GAGUGGGGUGCUAUACAUGCAAGUCGAGCGAACUGAUUAGAAGCUUGCUUCUAUGACGUUAGCGGCGGACGGGUGAGUAACACGUGGGCAACCUGCCUGUAAGACUGGGAUAACUUCGGGAAACCGAAGCUAAUACCGGAUAGGAUCUUCUCCUUCAUGGGAGAUGAUUGAAAGAUGGUUUCGGCUAUCACUUACAGAUGGGCCCGCGGUGCAUUAGCUAGUUGGUGAGGUAACGGCUCACCAAGGCAACGAUGCAUAGCCGACCUGAGAGGGUGAUCGGCCACACUGGGACUGAGACACGGCCCAGACUCCUACGGGAGGCAGCAGUAGGGAAUCUUCCGCAAUGGACGAAAGUCUGACGGAGCAACGCCGCGUGAGUGAUGAAGGCUUUCGGGUCGUAAAACUCUGUUGUUAGGGAAGAACAAGUACGAGAGUAACUGCUCGUACCUUGACGGUACCUAACCAGAAAGCCACGGCUAACUACGUGCCAGCAGCCGCGGUAAUACGUAGGUGGCAAGCGUUAUCCGGAAUUAUUGGGCGUAAAGCGCGCGCAGGCGGUUUCUUAAGUCUGAUGUGAAAGCCCACGGCUCAACCGUGGAGGGUCAUUGGAAACUGGGGAACUUGAGUGCAGAAGAGAAAAGCGGAAUUCCACGUGUAGCGGUGAAAUGCGUAGAGAUGUGGAGGAACACCAGUGGCGAAGGCGGCUUUUUGGUCUGUAACUGACGCUGAGGCGCGAAAGCUGAAC